rnacentral:miRNA from 1 species
GAAUGGGGCUGUUUCCCCUCC